rnacentral:sRNA from 1 species
CCCAUGCGGGGAAGGAUGAGAAGCUUCAACCAAGGUUCGACUUGAGCGCCAGCGAGAGAGCGUUGCCGCAGGCAACGACCCGAAGGGCGAAGCGCGCAGCGCUGAGUAAUCCUUCCCCCACCACCA